UUGUCCGGAUUUAUUGGGCGUAAAGCGAGCGCAGGCGGAAGAAUAAGUCUGAUGUGAAAGCCCUCGGCUUAACCGAGGAACUGCAUCGGAAACUGUUUUUCUUGAGUGCAGAAGAGGAGAGUGGAACUCCAUGUGUAGCGGUGGAAUGCGUAGAUAUAUGGAAGAACACCAGUGGCGAAGGCGGCUCUCUGGUCUGCAACUGACGCUGAGGCUCGAAAGCAUGGGUAGCGAACAGGAUUAGAUACCCUGGUAGUCCAUGCCGUAAACGAUAAGUGCUAAGUGUUGGGAGGUUUCCGCCUCUCAGUGCUGCAGCUAACGCAUUAAGCACUCCGCCUGGGGAGUACGACCGCAAGGUUGAAACUCAAAGGAAUUGACGGGGGCCCGCACAAGCGGUGGAGCAUGUGGUUUAAUUC
rnacentral:rRNA from 1 species